GACGAACGCUGGCGGCGUGCUUAACACAUGCAAGUCGAACGGAAAGGCCCUGCUUUUGUGGGGUGCUCGAGUGGCGAACGGGUGAGUAACACGUGAGUAACCUGCCCUUGACUUUGGGAUAACUUCAGGAAACUGGGGCUAAUACCGGAUAGGAGCUGCUGCUGCAGGGUGGGGGUUGGAAAGUUUCGGCGGUUGGGGAUGGACUCGCGGCUUAUCAGCUUGUUGGUGGGGUAGUGGCUUACCAAGGCUUUGACGGGUAGCCGGCCUGAGAGGGUGACCGGCCACAUUGGGACUGAGAUACGGCCCAGACUCCUACGGGAGGCAGCAGUGGGGAAUAUUGCACAAUGGGCGGAAGCCUGAUGCAGCAACGCCGCGUGCGGGAUGACGGCCUUCGGGUUGUAAACCGCUUUCGCCUGUGACGAAGCGUGAGUGACGGUAAUGGGUAAAGAAGCACCGGCUAACUACGUG
rnacentral:rRNA from 1 species